rnacentral:rRNA from 1 species
CGAAAGCCCCCUUCGGGGGGCAAGUAGAGUGGCGCACGGGUGAGUAACACGUAGGUAAUCUACCUUUGGAUGGGGAAUAACAACCGGAAACGGUUGCUAAUACCGCAUAAUGCAGCGGCACCUAAUGGUGACAGUUGUUAAAGCGGAGGAUCGCAAGACCUCGCGUCUGAAGAGGAGCCUGCGGCAGAUUAGCUAGUUGGUAAGGUAAAGGCUUACCAAGGCGAUGAUCUGUAGCCGGCCUGAGAGGGCGGUCGGCCACACUGACACUGACCUACGGGUCAGACUCCUACGGGAGGCAGCAGUCGGGAAUUUUGGGCAAUGGGCGAAAGCCUGACCCAGCAACGCCGCGUGAAGGAUGAAAUCCCUCGGGAUGUAAACUUCGCAAGAACGGGAAGAAUAAGUAAGAGCUAACAUCUCUUAUGAUGACGGUACUGUUUGUAAGCUCCGGCUAACUCCGUGCCAGCAGCCGCGGUAAUACGGGGGGAGCAAGCGUUGUUCGGAUUUACUGGGCGUAAAGGGCGCGUAGGCGGCCACCGCAAGUCGACUGUGAAAUCUCCGGGCUUAACUCGGAAAGGUCAGCCGAUACUGCGGAGCUAGAGUGCAGAAGGGGCAACUGGGAUUCUCGGUGUAGCGGUGAAAUGCGUAGAUAUCGAGAGGAACACCUGCGGCGAAGGCGGGUUGCUGGGCUGACACUGACGCUGAGGCGCGAAAGCUAGGGGAGCGAACGGGAUUAGAUACCCCGGUAGUCCUAGCCUUAAACGAUGAAUGCUUGGUGUCUGGGGUUUUAUAGUCCCCGGGUGCCGUCGCUAACGCUUUAAGCAUUCCGCCUGGGGGAGUACGGUCGCAAGACUGAAACUCAAAGGAAUUGACGGGGACCCGCACAAGCGGUGGAGCAUGUGGU